UUGUCAUUUGUUUGUUGUUUUCUCCAUUCUUCCUCGGGCGCCAUUCUGAUAAGAAAAAUAAUAGUGGUUAACAGAGCUGAAAUUAAAAAGAAAUUGAUUAUUAAACAUACUUACCUUACUUGCUAAAUACUUACCUAGUGCUAACUUUCUAGUUAUUUAGUGCUAAAAGUAGUUUUUCGAAGUGCUAUAUCUAUACAAGAUAAUUAUUCUCAAAGAUAACCUCAAGAUUACGGAAAGACUUGAAAGGACAUUGAAAGGACAAAAGAGGAAAUUGGAAUAUUAAACGAAUUUUUUAAUCCUGUUUAUGAAUAAACAGUUUGUUUACCCGGAAACUUUCCGUUUUCCUCAUUGUCUCAUUGGCCUAUUGCCAAUAUCUAGAUUGUUGAUCUUCAUUUCAAGACGGAUCUAUGGUACAAGGUGCGGUCUUUUGAUCACUAAAUUGAAUAGGGGAGCAGCAUAUGAAAACAGUACGAAAGAAAGCGAUUACCUGAACUAUGAAACAGAUAGAUUUAACAGAAACCUUCGAAAUUAUGAAAUUUCUCAAUAAGUUCAGUGGUAUUUAGCUGCAACUAGUAUAUCUAUUUUUCUUUGAAAACACAACACAAUAAUGUUUCAAGAUGACUGUAGAGUGAUUAUGUCGUAUUGACCAACCUGUUAGAAUACUUCAAACCCAGCAAACAUUAAAUCGUAUUCAAGACACAUUUGGAUGAUAUGUGAUACUUAUAACUAGCAUAUAUAAGCAAAAAUGGAGGCGAUAUAUGAAUUUGCCAUAUUUUAUACGCUUAUAAAGCCGUAUAUAACGAUAUGCGAAGCUUCUUUCACUUAUAUGCGAUUUUACCCGACAAUACUAUAUAAAAUGAAUAGAAUGUACGUAUAUAAUACUGCAUAUCGCGAUACUAGGUUGAUCGUUAUACCGAUAUAUGGCAUAAUCCAUCAAUGAUAUAGAAAAUCGUGUUUUUGCAUUUUAUACAAUUUCAGAUACACAUGAUGCAUCCUUUGAUUGAUAUUUCACACGAUUGUUAUUUGAUACGAAUUAAUAAUAAUAAUAACAAUAAUAAUUUAAUAAAAUAUUUUCCGACAUGUGGUUGUUUGUGUGAGUAUAAGAAAUCGUAUAUUCGUACGACAAUAGUCGUAUAAGAUGCAAAUAUAAAUAGUAUAUUUAUGCAAAGCAUUUGUCAUGUAUGUAUAUCGCCUCCUCUUUUGUAUGUGUAGUUUAGCUAAGUGCAUCAUAUACCACCCAAGAUAAGGGAUACGAUGAUGCAUAUACGCUAGUUUAAUCGUAUGUUUGCUGGAUUUCUAAAGGGUUAUUUCUAAAAUUUCGACGCACGACGAAAUUAUAUAGUGAUAAACAAGCGAACCGAAUAAAAUAAUCGUAAUUCUACGUGAGCAAUGUCUUGGAUACAAACCACUUAGGUUUUUUCGUAUAGAAUUUCGAAUAGAAUCGAUUUUUUGUGUCGUGUUUUCUUUAAAAGCUACAAUUUCGUAAAGUAUGAGGUUGUUUCAAGAGUUCUUCCCCUCAUAGCCAAUUGCCUCGUAAGUUUUUGACACCAUCCGGAAAGCAUAUUCAUCACCACCUAAUGCGUUCCAUGCAUAUAAGAUAAUGAUAAAUGGUUAAAAAAUAUCGCAGAAGCUUAAGGCAGCGACUGAUUAAUUUGGUGUGAGAAUUCUCUAUAUUGAAGGUUCCAUAGUACGCGAAGGUGAUGUUAUAAUGCGGAUUUAAGUAACGGUAAAUCAAAACAACAUAAUUUAAAUUUCGUAUAACUUAGUAACAAAUAGUUUCUUGAGUAAUGUUAG